rnacentral:lncRNA from 1 species
GUGUAUAUAUGUGACCUUAUUCAUCUUCAAAACAGCAUUUUGAGUUUGCAAGACUCUGCGGAUUAAUUGUGAGACUCAGAGAAGAAACCAACUAGACAGCCAUUAAUAUUGGCAAAUCUUGUAUAGACACAAGUGGUUGUAAUUCUUACUACCGUUAAGACAGUAGAUGGAUGGCUUUGAAUUUGGGCCAAGUGAGCAAAGGCAGCCCCUCCCUCUCUACGUUCCAGCCAUUUUGCUCACUGUGAGGACUCAGCUGU